AGCGAACGCUGGCGGCAGGCUUAACACAUGCAAGUCGAGCGCCGUAGCAAUACGGAGCGGCAGACGGGUGAGUAACACGUGGGAACGUACCUCUUGGUUCGGAACAACACAGGGAAACUUGUGCUAAUACCGGAUAAGCCCUUACGGGGAAAGAUUUAUCGCCGAGAGAUCGGCCCGCGUCUGAUUAGCUAGUUGGUGAGGUAACGGCUCACCAAGGCGACGAUCAGUAGCUGGUCUGAGAGGAUGAUCAGCCACACUGGGACUGAGACACGGCCCAGACUCCUACGGGAGGCAGCAGUGGGGAAUAUUGGACAAUGGGCGCAAGCCUGAUCCAGCCAUGCCGCGUGAGUGAUGAAGGCCCUAGGGUUGUAAAGCUCUUUUGUGCGGGAAGAUAAUGACUGUACCGCAAGAAUAAGCCCCGGCUAACUUCGUGCCAGCAGCCGCCGUAAUAC
rnacentral:rRNA from 1 species